CUACGGGGUGCUGCAGUGAGGAAUAUUGCACAAUGGUGGGAACCCUGAUGCAGCAACGCCGCGUGGAGGAUGACGCAUUUCGGUGUGUAAACUCCUUUUAUAUGUCAAGAAAAUGACGGUAGCAUAUGAAUAAGCACCGGCUAACUCCGUGCCAGCAGCCGCGGUAAUACGGAGGGUGCAAGCGUUACUCGGAAUCACUGGGCGUAAAGGACGCGUAGGCGGGUUGGAAAGUCAGGUGUGAAAUCCUACAGCUUAACUGUAGAGCUGCACUUGAAACUUCUAAUCUAGAGUAUGGGAGGGGGAGAUGGAAUUAGUGGUGUAGGGGUAAAAUCCGUAGAUAUCACUAGGAAUACCUAAAGCGAAGGCGAUCUCCUGGAACAUUACUGACGCUAAGGCGUGAAAGCGUGGGGAGCAAACAGGAUUAGAUACCCCAGUAGUC
rnacentral:rRNA from 1 species